rnacentral:rRNA from 1 species
AUCUGAGACACGAUUCCAGGCCCUACGGGGCGCAGCAGGCGCGAAAACUUUACAAUGCAGGAAACUGUGAUAAGGGAACCCCGAGUGCCCGUAUAUGCGGGCUGUCCGGAUGUUUAAAACGCAUCCGAAGAAAGGGCCGGGCAAGACCGGUGCCAGCCGCCGCGGUAAUACCGGCGGCUCGAGUGGUGGCCACUUUUAUUGGGCUUAAAGCGUUCGUAGCUUGAAUAAUAAGUCUCUUGGGAAAUCUGCAGGCUUAACCUGCAGGCGUUUAAGAGAAACUGUUGUUCUAGGAACCGGAAGAGGUGAGAGGUACUCCGGGGGUAGGAGUGAAAUCCUGUAAUCCCCGGGGGACCACCGAUGGCGAAGGCAUCUCACCAGGACGGCUUCGACAGUGAGGAACGAAAGCUGGGGGAGCGAACCGGAUUAGAUACCCGGGUAGUCCCAGCCGUAAACAAUGCGCGUUUAGGUGAA